UUGGCCCUAAUACAAUUCUACAGAAAGAUAAGUUCAGAAACAAAAAUAAUUGUUGGCUUGGUCACAUUUGACCCAGCCAUACCAUUAAAGGGGAUUCAAUCUGUGAAUCUAUAAAUUCAAUUUAUCUAUAAAAAAUGUGUAAAAGAUUUUUAUAAAAAAUUAAAAAAUAAUGUAACACAAAAAGAGAACAUCAGGGAUAUCAUAUUCAAUAAAAAAACUGGGAUUUACACAAGUAGAGAGAACAUUUACAUACAAAAUGUAAGACUUUUUGAAAAUUUUCAGUACAUAACUUUUACCUAAGUCAGUUUUUUUGUGAACUGAUAAAAACUAUGUUAUUACAGGUUUUUUUGGAGAUGAACUCAUACUCUAUGAGGAAGACUGCAAUAAACUCAUCCAGAAACAAAACUCAUGGGCUCUACUCCGGAAAAACAGCAGGGGUUCACCGCUCAGUAAGAUAGUUAGUCAGAGCUGCCACAUAUUCCAAGAGAUGUUGUUCUGACUCCUGAAGUGGAGUCCCUUGGAACAUCUGCUACCCCGGUGUUCAGCGGUGCGUCGGUGGCUUCGAUCUGAGUGGAUGACAAUUGCUGUAAACCUUGAGGGUCGAAAAUUUUAGAACUAACACCUCCGGUUUCCCUCUCUCGUGGCAUAUUGACGUCGUCCAUUAUGGGAUUCAAUGUACUGGGAGUCGACAAAGUGGGAUCUGGGCAACUGCCGUUUAUAUAUGAAACAUUGGAAUUAGCUGGAGUGUGAUUCAUAUUGAUACUGUGUUGAAAUUGGAAUUUAAUAAAGUGAAAAAAUUUAAGCAACAAGGCCUUUAUAGUGGUCCACAAGAUAGAAUUUACAUGCAUAAGUGAGUGAAUAAAGUGGUGACAGUGAUAAAAGUUUUCAAAAGAAGGACAAAAACGAUCAGGUAUUUAUCAAUUGCUAUGUUAUUUAAAGCUUAUUAUAUCUUAUUUUCUCACCAGAUCUGCUAAUUUGCCUAAUAUGCCUGUAUUUAUAACUAUGCGGACUUCUUUUGAAAACAAUGUUAUGGGAAAAUGAUCAAAUGCCAAACUCCAAUUAACUUAUUGCUGAUUGUAGCCAAUAUUAUUUUUAAAAGUGGCAUAUUUUUAAGUGACUUGUGAAUGAAUUGAUAAAAUUCAGCAAAUAAGGCCCAUAAAAUAUCAUAUAAUAAAAGUAGUAAAAUAAU